rnacentral:rRNA from 1 species
CAAAGCACUUUGAAGAGAGAGUUAAAGAGGACGUGAAACCGAUGAGGUGGAAACGGACAGAGCUGGCGUAUCUGGCCUGCAUUCAGCCGCUGCGCGUCGGGCCCCGGUUUGCCGCACUCCAGAUUGGGAAGGUGGCUGGGCUGCUGGCGUGCUUGUGGUGCAUUUGCAGGUGGAGUGCGCUGAGGCGCUCGGCUCAGCGGCAUGAGCUCGGCCUUGAGGCCAACCGUGCAAGCGGUCUGGUACCCGGGUCGGGGGAGUGUUGUUUGGGCUGAGUGUUCGCUUGGGCACUGGUUUCGGGCCCGGGUGGGUGCCGAGCUGGCGGUCGACGUCGGUCGCAUGCGACACGUGUCAGCAAUCAGUUCGGUCCUGCUCGAGCUCUCGCGUGUCCGGCCUCGGUGUAAAAGCCGGUCAUCUGUCCGACCCGUCUUGAAACACGGACCAAGGAGUUUAGCGUGUGCGCGAGUCAUUGGGCGUUGAAAACCCAAAGGCGCAAUGAAAGUGAAGGUCUGCCUUGUGCAGCUGAUGUGUGAUCCUGGGUGCUGCGGUGCCCGGGCGCAACAUAGUCCCGUCCCGACUGCAUGCAGUGGGGCGGA